AGGACGAACGCUGGCGGCGUGCUUAACACAUGCAAGUCGGAGCGGUAAGGCCUCUUCGGGGGUACACGGAGCGGCGAACGGGUGAGUAACCACGUGGGUGACCUGCCCUCAGCUCUGGGAUAAGCCUGGGAAACUGGGUCUAAUACUGGAUAUGACUGCGCAUCGCAUGGUGUGUGGUGGAAAGUUUUUUUCGGCUGGGGAUGGGCCCGCGGGCCUAUCAGCUUGGUUGGUGGGGUGAUGGCCUACCAAGGCGACGACGGGUA
rnacentral:rRNA from 1 species